rnacentral:rRNA from 1 species
UACAGAGGUCUCAAGCGUUGUUCGGAUUCAUUGGGCGUAAAGGGUGCGUAGGCGGCGCGGUAAGUCGGGUGUGAAAUCUUGGAGCUUAACUCCGAAACUGCAUUCGAUACUGCGGUGCUUGAGGACUGGAGAGGAGACUGGAAUUCAUGGUGUAGCAGUGAAAUGCGUUGAUAUCGAUAGGAACUCCGGUGGCGAAGGCGGCAUACUGGACCACAUCUGACGCUGAGGCGCGAAAGCCAGGGGAGCAAACGGG